rnacentral:rRNA from 1 species
GACGAACGCUGGCGGCGUGCUUAACACAUGCAAGUCGAACGGAAAGGCCUGCUUUCCCUUGUGGAUUGCGGGUACUCGAGUGGCGAACGGGUGAGUAACACGUGAGUGAUCUGCCCCCAACUUGGGUAUAAGCCUGGGAAACUGGGUCUAAUUCCCGAUAGGACUGCAGGGUGGUGCCUGUGGUGGAAAACGAUUUUCUAGUGGUUGGGGAUGAGCUCGCGGCCUAUCAGCUUGUUGGUGGGGUAAUGGCCUACCAAGGCGGCGACGGGUAGCCGGCCUGAGAGGGUGGACGGCCGCAGUGGGACUGAGAUACGGCCCGGACUCCUACGGGAGGCAGCAGUGGGGACUAUUGCACAAUGGGCGGAGGCCUGAUGCAGCGACGCCGCGUGGGGGAUGACGGCCUUCGGGUUGUAAACUCCUUUCGACCGCGAGGAAGCCACCUGGUUGGAAGGGUGGUGACGGUAGUGGUAGAAGAAGCACCGGCUAACUACGUG